AUGUUGUCCAUGCCUGACAGAUUACCUGAUGCCGUUAGGCUUUUCGAGGAACUGAAAAAAUGGGACUUAGAAACAUGUAAUGUGAUGAUAUCGUGCUAUGCCAGGAGUGGUUUAGUGGAGCAAGCUCUGGGCUUCUUUGUGAUGGCUCUGCGAAAUGGUGUUCUUCCAACCGAGUUCACCUUUGCAAGUGUGCUGAGAUGGAGCUCAUGUUUUGGUCUGUUGAAGCAGGGUGGCCAAAUCCAUGCACUGGUAUAUCAACGUUCCUUGAAGCAUGCCAGGGAACUCUUCAAUGGUGUUUGUGUCAAAGAUUUGUUGAUCAUCAGUAUAUAUCGCAGAAUGGAAGAGAGCCUGUUGUUGAUCCUUUUGCUCAAAGGACGGAAAUACGAAGAUUAG
rnacentral:rRNA from 1 species